AUAUAUAUAUGUGUAUACAUAUAUACAUAUACAUAUACAUAUAUUUCAGUGAAAAUAUAUUGAGUUUCCCAGUCUGGUACCUGGUACCUUGUUUUUCUGAUCAUCUCGGAUUUUGCUUGAAUAUAAUAUUACAACUUUAAUCUCUUUUUUUUCACAAUAUAAUAAUUUCAUUCUCGAAAGCUUUUUUUUUUUUCUUUCUUCAGUAUGGUCCUAAUACUCUUGUCAUAGAUUGAAAUUUAAACAUUGUUUUCCAGAAAAAAAAACAAAAGAAACAUAAACACAAAGAAAAGCAUCAGAAAAAGAGUAAGGAGGAAGAAAGCAGUGAUGAGGACAGUGAGGGACAUGUUUCUACAGAGGAGCUGCUGAAAAGACUGAAGAGCAUCCCAUAGUGUCAGCAACAUCAGACCUGGUGAAGGACAAUGAGGAUGUUCUACUCGUUUCUAAAUUUGUUUGUGACACAGGAAAAUUAAAAUGUCAUUCGUGUUUGAUUUUGAUUGUUUAGGAAAAGAAAAAUUGCAAUUAAAUAGUAUCCAGUCUUUGUAUCCAGUUGUGUUAUUUAAUCAUAUUAAGUGUGUAGUUUGAUGUAGAAUCAAAGAGUUGUUGUGCUGUGUGCUCCCACACUCCGCAAAAAAGGAAGCUGAAGAGGAAAAUGUGGACAUUUUAAACAAUUUCUUUUAAGUCAAUUUAUCACUAAAGAAUGAUUUUCAUCAAAACUUAGCAGAGAUAUCCGUAAUACUAGUAUCUCAUUGGUAAAGUUAUCUUUUUGAAAUAAUUUUUUUUUAAGACCAGUACAUUUUAUAUAAUUUAUUUAAUGUGCUGCAUUAAUUGGGAUCAACUAUUAUUAACUCGGGUCUUUUUAUACAUGUAUUACAUGAACACAUUUUUUCUUUUUGGAUCACAUGAUAAUACCAGUUGGACUGUAUUUUACAAACCAAUAACAAACGUAUUUACCUCAAAAUAAUGGUGCACUAAAAUAGAAAACAUCACCGGAAAUUGUAUAAGUACUAAUUACCUCAAGCAUAUUUUUGUGUUUUGAAAAUUCAUGAAAUUCAUGGAGCUAAUACAAGCUCACGUGGUACACCCUGGACAGAUCAGAAGUCCAUCACAGGGCCAUCAUACAGAGGCAAACAAUGAUUGAUCCUCACAUUCACACCAGUGUCCAAUUAAUCUAAUCACCAAACUGCAUGUUUUUGGACUGGGAGGAAUGCACAGAUGAGCAGGGCGAGUGGGCCCAAUUCUCAGAGCUGAGAGCUUUCACUGAAAAUCAACCAAUGUGCAGCGUCAAAUACCAUUGCAGUCAAUAAAAAUUAUUUCAAAUACAAUUUUUAUGGUUAAAUUAUGACGUCAAAAUGUGCCUGAAAUGUGUUGACCCACUGGGCAACGGCCCAGUAUUCCCGAUGGCCAGUCCAGGCCUGCCAUUGAAGCACGGCUGCAAGCUGUGCAGUAUCGUUGGCAUUUUGGUGGCAGUGAUGCAUGAGUCAUUCUGCCCAUAGCAGCACAAGAUGCAGAGUAGGAUAGUUGUUCCCCUCCAGUUCAUGCUGAGCAUGAUAAAAGGGUUCCAAAAAUGACACUAAGAUGCCUGAAGUGUCGGGAGUUACACACACAACAGCGUCUGCCCCUCUCCAUCAAGCAGGCAGCCAGAUUUACUUUUCACCACACGUUAACAGCAAUGAUUCACAACAAACAACAUAUCAUUUCCAACCUGCAAGAAAUGCAGGUUUCUGGCCCGACCCGUUACUAGAACUCUAUCCCAGGGAUACGAGUUUUACUGCGUUCAAAUAUUUGAAAGAAUAAUAAUCUGAAUCUACAAUUUUAUGAAAAUUUUAAAUCGAACAGUGAAAAGCUCAUCAGCAAUAAUGUCAAAAUAAUGAUAAAUGAGACAAAAAAUAUAAAAACAUAACAUACAAAACUUAUGUGCUGAGGCUUACCUAACAUAAUGUUAAUUUAGAAAACUGGAAAAGUAGAGAGAAACAUCUCUUGGCCUUUAGGAGUGUUCCUCAUUGUUGUUCCAUUGAGGUUGUGCCCAAGAUCCAGUGGCAUCCUUCUCAGUCUGUACCCCAAUGACCUUCUGUGCAGAUCAGUAGCUCUGAAGUCCAAAUGUGCAAUCCUUCAGUCGAGUGGAAUAAUAACUAUCUGGGGAAAACCAGGUCUCACGAGUAGAGACGGCAUCUAUCCUGCUAUGGAUGGAGCUGCUUUCUUAUCUAGAAAUUGCAGACGCAGACGUGUUCAUCUUCCUGUUUACCCGAGGAGAUUCAAGAAAAUGGCGGGUAGUAUUAUAAGUCCAGCACCAUUAUAUUUAAAAGCAGAUGUGUGGGAGCAUUUAGGUUUAAAAAAAAAAAGGAGAGCGAGCACUUGGAUAAAAGUAUUGCGGUUUGCAAGCUGUGUCACACAAAUGUGAAAUAUAGUGGAAAUACCACCAACCUACGAGCCCACCUAAAACGUCACCACCCGGAAAAGGUAACGCUAACUGAGGGACCCAAGAAGCUGUGGCGUGACCCAAAACAAACCAUGCUGGAUAGCGAUGGCGGUUGUUCCUACAAGUUCCCGUCUACUUCACCUACCAUGGUUUAUUUUACUUUCCUGUUGGCUAGAUUGUUAUGUUGUUAUGAUAUGUUAAGAAUCUGUUCAGAACAGGCCACUUGUUGCACUUUUUGAGUCUUGAUUGUUCUUUUUAAUACUGCACUUUAUUUACUUUUAAGAGGCUUGUAAACUACAGUUUGCACUUUAAUAAAUGGAUCUUAUUUUCUCA